rnacentral:rRNA from 1 species
UACAGGGGGUGCUAGCGUUGUUCGGAAUUACUGGGCGUAAAGGGCGCGUAGGCGGCUUGAUAAGUCAGGAGUGAAAUCCCGGAGCUUAACUUCGGAAUUGCUUUUGAAACUAUUAGGCUAGAGUAUGUUAGAGGAAAUCGGAAUUCCUAGUGUAGAAGUGAAAUUCGUAGAUAUUAGGAAGAACACCGGUGGCGAAGGCGGAUUUCUGGGACAUUACUGACGCUGAGGCGCGAAAGCGUGGGGAUCAAAC